ensembl:lncRNA
CAGGAUGUGAGUCAAGAAGCGGACAGCUACUGGAGAAUAAAGUUCAUUGCAGUUCAAAGCUUUGCCAUAGGGACUUAUUCCACCAGAUACAUGGGCAAAACCAUGGGAUAGAAAUAAUGUAUAUUCAGGAAAACAGAAAUCACCAGGAGCAGUGCAGAGUGAAACAGGAAGACCAGAAGUAAUGAGAGCAAAAAAAAAUAAACAGAAGAAGAAAGGUUUAGGGAUGGUAUCACGUAUACAGCUAGUCUAACCACCACAUACAGAAAAGGAGGAGUUGAUUCAAGGCACAUGGAAUGCUGAACUCUAAAGAGAAGAAGGUGAAUGCAAUGGUUAACCCUCAAUUCUAUCUCACAGUCAUCAUAAUUAGUGGAGACGAUGCCUCGCCUUUUGCAUAGAGUACAGCAUGAUUUUAACUUGGAAACCACCUGACCAUCUGAGCAAAAACAAAAUCUGACCCUUGUAAAGACUGGAACAACUACAAUCAAAACCUCUGCAUGAAGCCGUGACACAGUCGACAGUGAUGAAUAUCUGCAUUGAUCACGUUCCCUUAACAAUAAUCUUCUGUCCUCUAGUUGAGGCUGAAGAAGGCAAAAUUGGAGGGCUAAAAAUGGAAACCAACAAAUGUCCUGCUCCUUUGUUAAAUAACACUGGAAUCCUGUGAGCUUUUCAUCUCAACAUAAAAUACUGUUGAGAAUGAGUAGAAAUAAGCUGG